AUGCAGGACGUGGGGAGGAGAUGGAGUCACCUGCAGCUUGUUUGGCCCUCCCGAGGAGCUUUAAGGACCUGCAGUGCAGAGGGCUCCUGCCUUUGGGAGAAGGUGCUGAAAAAAUCCCUCGAGGCCCUGAAUUGCAACAUAAUCCAGCUCCAAAUCCCACCUGGAAUCCGUCAGGAGGGACGAGCCCUGACAUUCCCCCGCCGAUGCCUUCAAAGCCCUCUGAUCUUCGCCGUGGAAACGACACCAUCAGAUAAGGCUCGGCCCCUGCCAAGAGACACACAACAUCUGCAAGGCUGCAGAAAGGGGGAUUAGGGAAAAGUUAACCUCCUUCCUCAGUUGUGAUUUUUGGGAGGCAACCAACUCCCGAGCUCUCCUUUGCAGGGCGGGUUUGGGGCUUUCACGGUGGUCCCCAGGCCCUGAGGAUGAGAUGUCCUUGGGGAUGAUGGCACCGCUGCACAGAGGGAGCAGGGCCAUAAAAUCUGGGGCUAACCAAGGGUUUGGACUUGUAGUGACGAGAGGAAAUGCCCUCGAGCUGCGCCAGGGGAGAUUCAGGUUGGACAUCAGGAGGAAUUUUCUCACAGAAAACACUGGAAGGGGCUGCCCAGGGAGGUGGUGAUCAGUCAAAACUCAGACUCGAUGGAUCUCAGAGGUCUUUUCCUACCUAAAAGAUUCUGUGAAAACCAGAAACCAGUUUCCAGCCCCUUUCCUCCACUUGAAAUGUUUCUCCCUAAAAGCAAUCCCCAAGAACCUGCUCGUUUCCACAAAAGCUCCUGGCGCUCCCUGGGUGACCCGGCCUUGGCAGCAGCUCUGCUCGGGCAGGUGAAGGGUUAACGCUGCUCUUUGGGAGCCUUGAACUCCAAAACCCCGCGGGUCCUGCCGGAGCUCGUUACCCCGAGAGCGGCGAGAGGAGCCCCGGCGCUGAUUGCGGUGGCGACCUCCGGGGCUGUGAGGAAUCAGCAGCGGCACCGGGAGGAGGUGCCGAGCUCACCCCGAAAACCCUGAGCCCUGCCAGCCUCCCGAGCUGCUCCGGAGUGAUUUCCAUCCCCGUCCGGAGCAGC
rnacentral:lncRNA from 1 species